rnacentral:rRNA from 1 species
CUGAACGCCUCUAAGUCAGAAUCCGUGCUAGAAACGAUGAUGUUGGUGUCGCACAUUAGACUUGUGUUUAAUAGAGCUUUGCUCGUGAACCAAAUAUGGUGGGCUGGGUUGUCUUUGCGGAAACGCUUAGGCGACUUGUCUACGAAUUGUAAUCAUAAUAUGGGCGGCGGUGAAUCCUUUGCAGACGACUUGAAUGGGAACGGGGUACUGUAAGUGGUAGAGUAGCCUUGUUGCUACGAUCCACUGAGGUUAAGCCCUUGUUCUAAAGAUUUGUUCA